UCCAUCUGUAACGUGAUGGAAAGCACAAUAAUGACAACAGAGCAGCAAGAUCCCAGGUGGCAGCAAGCAAGGAUUCACUCAAACAUGACAGCAGUGGGCACAGAAAUAAGGGAAAGAAGCUGCUUACCUUCAGAAGGCCUCAGGUAUGCAAGGACCCCCAGAGAGAUACCCUUGCCUCUGCUGCCAACCCUUAAAGGAGGUCUGGGAAGGGGUGGAUCCUGGCUCCAUCCCUUCCAGUCACUCAGCUGUGUUGCAUGCACCUGAGCUCCCCUGGGUUGGCCCUGCCUUCCCACCAGGUGCUCAAUCACUGUUUCAAGCCCUGACUUAGCAUUUCCACUGCACCAUCUGUACCACUUUGUUCUUUGCUGUCUCAUUGUACUGUCAGUCUAGAAUAUUUCUUUUAGUUCUGUUGAAACAAUUCUUUCAGACGUGUUGCUCCAGAUCUCCGGCAUGGCUUUCCCACUCCUAGCCUCGCUGCCAGUCCGUGUGCAGAUACUGGGGCUUGCAGGCACUCCCUCUUUGGUGUAGUGGCUACUUUCCUUUCUGCUUUGCUUUUGCGACCAUUUAUUUUAGGAAAAGAGCAGAUGAUGGAAAAACAUUGUCACGUGCUACAGACAUCUGUGUUUUGGCCAGUUCUGUGGAACUUCUAUUUCUUAAGUUAUGAGGGACGUCCUCAUUUUUUUUUCUGCCUGGGAUUGAGAUGUUCAUGCCCCAAGUGCCUCACAGUGUGAAUGUACCCUCCGGCCCUUCCUAUGGUAGCACUACGGGGUGACACUGAUCUGCGAUGCUGGUGAGACCCACAGUUGGUUUGUUUCUGCCGGAUCUUCUGUGAGGAAACAAAGCAAGUGCUCAGUGUGCUUCUGCUUGAGAGGUCUCACCCCUCAGCUGUGCAAGAAACAUCCAGUGAUAACGCUUGUGUGCCUCUACCUGCCAGAAGAGGAGCUGCUGAAGGACCGAUGACCUGGCCCCACUGCCAGAGUCUGUAAGCAUUACUGGACUACUGCAGCUUGCGCCAUGGCAGCGUGGGUCACUGACCUUUCUGGAUGGUGGUGGAGCUGCGUCCUGCUGCCCCUUCCUCCAUUAUUCCCCUCACCGCAGACAUGGGAACCUCUGGCAGUAAUGAUGGAAACCUCCAUCUGCCCCAUCCACGCGCUCCCACUCUGACCUUCAGCUCUGAGAAAUUAUUUAUACAGCUAGGGCUUGUUCGUAGCUGUGCCCAUGGGCUCGGUGUGAAGUGGUACCGGGACAGUCCUGAGGCAAUCUCUGCAUCACUCCUGGAGAGCUGCUGCGUCCAGAGGUGAAGGUUUGGCAGCAAGAAGCAGUUGGCUACAGGAAGUAAGUGUCCUAAGGGUGCUUCUCGGGCUCCUUUCAGAGAGAUGCGUCUGGCCUUCUGUGGCAGGAACUGGUGGGGUGGCACAGCUGCUUGCAGCAGAAGUGGGGUUGUGUGAAUGUGCAAAGAGAAUGGGAAAGGGGCUGCCUUUCUGUCCUGGGUGUCCCACUGCUGCCCGCUCAGUGCCUCCCUGGAGCUGGAUGUGCUGAAAAGGGAAGCGAACCCAGCCCAGCAGAGCUGCCACCUCCACCUGUGUACCUGCUGCGUGCAAGGGGAGGGGGCCAUGCUGGGGCCAGGUCUGGGUUUUCCUCUCUCUCUUUCUCUCUCUCUCUCUCUCUCUAAUUUUAAAUAUCCUAAAAAAUAAAUUUUGGAAUUAGAAGAAAUGAGGAAUGUUCUAAGUAUUCAAAGUGUGAGCUAUAAAACCUCUCGCAUGGCAGGGGCACACAGUGAAUGCUGUUUGCAAGGUGCCUGUAAGCCCAGAAUCAUCCCACUGUUGAUAUUGAGGUUAUUAAGACUCCAGCUAGAAGAUCUCCUGACCCUACGCUUGCCUAAGUGUCAAGAUUUAGUUCCUUAACUUUUACAGAACACCUUCAAUUCUGCAAGUGACUUCCUUUAAAGACUGCCAACUAUAUUAGUAAAUAAACUGAACUCUAAUGAUGUAACCAAA